rnacentral:snRNA from 1 species
GUGCUCGCUUCGGCAGCACAUAUACUAAAAUUGGAACAAUAGAGAAGAUUAGCAUGGCCCCUAUGUAAGGAUGACACGCAAAUUCGUGAAGCAUUCCAUAUUUUA